AUACAGAGGGUGCAAGCGUUGUUCGGAAUCACUGGGCGUAAAGGGCGCGCAGGCGGUUUGGUAAGUCAGAUGUGAAAGCCCACGGCUCAACCGUGGAAGUGCAUUUGAAACUGUCAGACUUGAGUACUAGAGGGGAAAGUGGAAUUCCCGGUGUAGGGGUGAAAUUCGUAGAUAUCGGGAGGAAUACCGGUGGCGAAGGCGACUUUCUGGCUAGAUACUGACGCUGAGGCGCGAAAGCGUGGGGAGCAAACAGGAUUAGAAACCCCAGUAGUCC
rnacentral:rRNA from 1 species